rnacentral:tRNA from 1 species
CGCGCCGUAGAGCAGUUGGCAGCUCGUCAGGCUCAUAACCUGAAGGUCGGCGGUUCAAGUCCGCCCGGCGCAUCCA